AAUUGCCAUUUUAUCAUUAUUUAUUAAUAGUGCGAAUUGAAAAUACUGAGUGCAAAAUAAAAUAUAUAUAGGUCUGUGUUUAUUGUUUACAUUUCAUCUACUUCCGGACCCGGUGUGUCCUAAAUUUACGAAGAAAUGGUUGAAGACUAGAUCUACAUCUAGUUCUAGACAUAGAUCUCUAGAUCUACUGAUCUAGUAGUCUAGGUCUAGAUAUUAGAAUUAGAUCUAUUCUUAGAAUCUAGCUAUAAAAGUCAGAGGAUCUUGGACGAACAUGAGGAACACAUCAGCUCUCCACAGAUGACAACAUCCACUUCAGAAUUGGAUGAAAAAUUAUACUGAACGAAAGGAACUGCUGAAAUAGAUGAAGGAAACAGAGGCGAUGGAAACGAGACAUUGAUGGAAGGAGGUCCACUUUGUGCAUAUUAAAUAGGUGUACUUUUUACUAUUCGGCCAACUACCUGGCAGGGAUAUUCGACCGGAGCCAAAUAUGGCAGAAUGGGGAAAAAAGGCCAAAUAUUCGACAGAAGCCGGAGCAACUAUCCGGUGCACCCCUAUAAGCUAUCUAUUACAUUGCUAUGAAUUCAAGAAGAGGGUCUUUUACUUUGUGAAAGGUUUUGUAAUAGACUAUAACAACAAGAGUCUCAAUUAACACAUUGAAUUUUUUUUAGUCUUCCAUUCGUCUCCUUUACUCCAGCAUCUUGUUAUGAGUCUGACCCACUUUUACACACAGUCCUGACUUACACACUUUCUUUGCUGUUCACUCAACCAUUUACAAUGAAGAUCAACUGGUCAUUUCUUACACAGGCACACACACUGCACUACCAGCCACUCAAAACACAUUCACUUACUACCACAGGUUUUUCUAUGACCUUUCGCUUGUAGGCCUUCAUUCAAUUCUUUUUCUUGAUUUUUCUAUUGAUUUUCAUGUGAGCGAAGAGCUUUACCCUCUUUUAAUACUCAAGGUAGCUAACACAUAUGAUGUGCUAAAUUAUAGAAUGUAAUUCUUAUAUUAAGGACUGCAUCUUAAUUUCUAGGCACCUCUUCUCUUUGUCUUGUAUAGAUAAGUCUAAUCAGAGGUAACACUAUAAUAAGGAAAUAACACAGGGGUGUAAGGCCAAAAAUAUUAAGGCAGUUAACGCUGAUGAACAAUGUCGAACAAGAAGUUUAAUACGUAAUGAAGGGAACUGUUGAAUGUUGUAUUAUCUAAACAUCUACUACUUCAGAAACUAAAGCCGACCUGACUCAGGAGCUGCAAAAAAGUCUUCUAUUAACCUUUUGCUCUACUUCCCAAAUCUAGUCCUGGAUAAAACACAUAUGAACUGUGUAAAAGUAUAUCUAGAUUUAUCCUUGACUAUCAGAUGUGUUAUUUGUUUGCUAGACAA